rnacentral:misc_RNA from 1 species
GGCAUUUCUGAGAAAGGUUAGUGACAGUAAGUUGAAGUCAUUAUUGCAUUCUUUCUCAUAUUUCUGAUUUGCAUGAAUUAGGGCACAGUUGACUAUCCUGUUAAUAGCAAUUAAGUUUUUAUGAAUUGAUGUUGUAUUAAUGUGAGGGAACCAUGGGAAGACAGUAGACCUUAUUGUUAUAUGCCAGAGAAAAGUGCGGAUAAUUUUGACUGUCUUCUAUUUCUCUGUAAUGUUGCUAGGGAAUUAGGGACACUAGGUAUCAUCUGAGUUCUUAUUAUAUGAGAUUGCAAGGCAAUGUGGGCAAAAAUAUUCCUUGGAAGUGUAUUUGGAAGGUUAAGGCACUGCCAUAAAUUUCUUUCUUCGUGGACUAUAGGUGAGGCAAAGGGAAACAAGUUAUUAUGAAUAUUGCUAUAUUUAAUGGAAUAGUGAGGAGAUACUCCGGCAUCUCUAUUGCAUUGUAGAGUUGCAAGGUAGCUAUGGUCAUUAACUUCAUUCCAAAGUCUCUGCCUGAAUUAUUGGUUAUCGGAAGGGGAGUUUCAUGAGCUAGAAAGUUGUAAGGACUGGAGCCCACUGCAAUUAUGCCUCAUGUUGCGGCAUUUGGAGAGAGAGUGAGAUAUUUGAGGGGAUGAAGAAAUAUAUUUGUGUAGUUUAAAACACAUGUUUUUUAGUUAAAACUGAAGGUUUCUUUCUUUGGUUAUUUCUUUCUCUUAUCUUUUCUGGGCGUGUCUGACUUUGGGUUCAUUUUUAUUGUUUAUAAAAUAAAAAAAAAAUGGGAGGAAUAAAUUCAUAAGCAAUUGUCAACAUGAAAGUUACAUUAUAUUUU